rnacentral:rRNA from 1 species
GACGAACGCUGGCGGUGUGCUUAACACAUGCAAGUCGAACGGUAAGGCCCUUUCGGGGGUCCACGAGUGGCGAACGGGUGAGUAACACGUUAGUAACCUGCCCUCAUCUCUGGGAUAACAGUCGGAAACGGUUGCUAAUACUGGAUAUGAGCUUGCAAGGCAUCUUGUGGGUUGGAAAGAUUUUUUUUGGUUGGGGAUGGACUCGCGGCCUAUCAGCUUGUUGGUGAGGUAGUGGCUCACCAAGGCUUCGACGGGUAGCCGGCCUGAGAGGGCGACCGGCCACAUUGGGACUGAGAUACGGCCCAAACUCCUACGGGAGGCAGCAGUGGGGAAUAUUGCACAAUGGACGGAAGUCUGAUGCAGCAACGCCGCGUGCGGGAUGACGGCCUUCGGGUUGUAAACCGCUUUCAAUUGUGACGAAGCUUUUUUGUGACGGUAGCAGUAGAAGAAGCACCGGCUAACUACGUG